rnacentral:rRNA from 1 species
CCUACGGGAGGCAGCAGUGAGGAAUAUUGGUCAAUGGGCGAGAGCCUGAACCAGCCAAGUAGCGUGAAGGAUGACUGCCCUACGGGUUGUAAACUUCUUUUAUAAAGGAAUAAAGUGAUGCACGUGUGCCUUUUUGUAUGUACUUUAUGAAUAAGGAUCGGCUAACUCCGUGCCAGCAGCCGCGGUAAUACGGAGGAUCCGAGCGUUAUCCGGAUUUAUUGGGUUUAAAGGGAGCGUAGGUGGGUUGUUAAGUCAGUUGUGAAAGUUUGCGGCUCAACCGUAAAAUUGCAGUUGAUACUGGCAGUCUUGAGUACAGUAGAGGUAGGCGGAAUUCGUGGUGUAGCGGUGAAAUGCUUAGAUAUCACGAAGAACUCCGAUUGCGAAGGCAGCCUACUAAACUGCCACUGACAUUGAGGCUCGAAAGUGUGGGUAUCAAACAGGAUUAGAUACCCUGGUAGUC